rnacentral:lncRNA from 1 species
AGCUUGGAUGGAGAAACUUUACAGAGGUUUCAGCCAAACACUCAUGAAUUCUUUAAUGUGUGAAAUAAAUUUGUACAACGAAAGGCUAAAAAUUUGGGAGAUGCAGGAUGACUGAAGCCCGAUUCUGGGGGUUGUUACAGCACAGUUACAGGAUAUCAUAGUGCCUCAGAUCCCCUUUCAAGACUGAAAGACUUUCUACUCCAGAUGCCAUUGGCUGAAGACAGCUUCUAUUCAAACAGGGAAAUGGCCUGUCUGCAACAUGCAGCCUUUAUUCUUACCUGCAUGGCAUACUCCUU